GGCGUGUCCAAUCGGGAAAGAUGGUUUGAACCUUUCUUUUGGGGGUUUAGAGCCCUCCUCAUGUCU
rnacentral:tRNA from 1 species